rnacentral:rRNA from 1 species
GGGUUGUGAGGUUAAGCGACUAAGCGUACACGGUGGAUGCCCUGGCAGUCAGAGGCGAUGAAGGACGUGCUAAUCUGCGAUAAGCGUCGGUAAGGUGAUAUGAACCGUUAUAACCGGCGAUUUCCGAAUGGGGAAACCCAGUGUGAUUCGUCACACUAUCAUUAACUGAAUCCAUAGGUUAAUGAGGCGAACCGGGGGAACUGAAACAUCUAAGUACCCCGAGGAAAAGAAAUCAACCGAGAUUCCCCCAGUAGCGGCGAGCGAACGGGGAGCAGCCCAGAGCCUGAAUCAGUGUGUGUGUUAGUGGAAGCGUCUGGAAAGGCGCGCGAUACAGGGUGACAGCCCCGUACACAAAAAUGCACAUGCUGUGAGCUCGAUGAGUAGGGCGGGACACGUGGUAUCCUGUCUGAAUAUGGGGGGACCAUCCUCCAAGGCUAAAUACUCCUGACUGACCGAUAGUGAACCAGUACCGUGAGGGAAAGGCGAAAAGAACCCCGGCGAGGGGAGUGAAAAAGAACCUGAAACCGUGUACGUACAAGCAGUGGGAGCACGCUUCGGCGUGUGACUGCGUACCUUUUGUAUAAUGGGUCAGCGACUUAUAUUCUGUAGCAAGGUUAACCGAAUAGGGGAGCCGAAGGGAAACCGAGUCUUAACUGGGCGUUAAGUUGCAGGGUAUAGACCCGAAACCCGGUGAUCUAGCCAUGGGCAGGUUGAAGGUUGGGUAACACUAACUGGAGGACCGAACCGACUAAUGUUGAAAAAUUAGCGGAUGACUUGUGGCUGGGGGUGAAAGGCCAAUCAAACCGGGAGAUAGCUGGUUCUCCCCGAAAGCUAUUUAGGUAGCGCCUCGUGAAUUCAUCUCCGGGGGUAGAGCACUGUUUCGGCAAGGGGGUCAUCCCGACUUACCAACCCGAUGCAAACUGCGAAUACCGGAGAAUGUUAUCACGGGAGACACACGGCGGGUGCUAACGUCCGUCGUGAAGAGGGAAACAACCCAGACCGCCAGCUAAGGUCCCAAAGUCAUGGUUAAGUGGGAAACGAUGUGGGAAGGCCCAGACAGCCAGGAUGUUGGCUUAGAAGCAGCCAUCAUUUAAAGAAAGCGUAAUAGCUCACUGGUCGAGUCGGCCUGCGCGGAAGAUGUAACGGGGCUAAACCAUGCACCGAAGCUGCGGCAGCGACACUAUGUGUUGUUGGGUAGGGGAGCGU